CAUUUCAGGUUGUUUUGGAUCGUAAGUCCCAGUACUUUAUGUGAACGCACUGUCUCAAUUGGGUGUCCAUCGAUUAACAGAGGCAUUAAUUGGGGGGUUUCUCCAAGGAAACUAACACGAAGCUCUUUGCAUUUUUUGAUAUUAAGUUUCAUCCAAUUAUCGGAAGCCCACAACUGAACUGAAUUAAGGGUUGAUUGAGUGAUAGAGGUGCAAUUUCUGCUAAGACUCUCAGAGGUUGAAACGUCGUCUACGUAUUUCCACAUUCUGAUGUCGGGAGAAGUGAUUCGCAGGUUAUUGACCAUUACUAGGCACAAGAUUGGACCUAGUUUUGUCCCCUGAGGAACACCUGCAUUCACUGGAAGCCAGUCAGAGGUUUCUCCGUCAAAUUUAACACGCUGCCUUCGAUUUGAGAGGAAGUUGAUGAUCCAA